rnacentral:rRNA from 1 species
AUUGAACGCUGGCGGCAUGCCUUACACAUGCAAGUCGAACGGUAACGGGUCCUUCGGGAUGCCGACGAGUGGCGAACGGGUGAGUAAUAUAUCGGAACGUGCCCAGUAGUGGGGGAUAACUGCUCGAAAGAGCAGCUAAUACCGCAUACGACCUGAGGGUGAAAGGGGGGGAUCGCAAGACCUCUCGCUAUUGGAGCGGCCGAUAUCAGAUUAGCUAGUUGGUGGGGUAAAGGCCUACCAAGGCAACGAUCUGUAGUUGGUCUGAGAGGACGACCAGCCACACUGGAACUGAGACACGGCCCAGACUCCUACGGGAGGCAGCAGUGGGGAAUUUUGGACAAUGGGCGCAAGCCUGAUCCAGCAAUGCCGCGUGCAGGAAGAAGGCCUUCGGGUUGUAAACUGCUUUUGUCAGGGAAGAAAUCUUCUGGGCUAAUACCCCGGGAGGAUGACGGUACCUGAAGAAUAAGCACCGGCUAACUACGUG